ACUCCUACGGGAGGCAGCAGUAAGGAAUAUUGGUCAAUGGACGCAAGUCUGAACCAGCCAUGCCGCGUGCAGGAAGACAGCCUUAUGGGUUGUAAACUGCUUUUAUACAGGAAUAAACCAUCCUACGUGUAGGGUGCUGAAGGUACUGUAAGAAUAAGCACCGGCUAACUCCGUGCCAGCAGCCGCGGUAAUACGGAGGGUGCAAGCGUUAUCCGGAUUUAUUGGGUUUAAAGGGUGCGCAGGCGGACCUAUCAGUCAGUGGUGAAAUCCCGAGGCUCAACCUCGGAACUGCCAUUGAUACUGUAGGUCUUGAGUUUGGUUGAAGUGGGCGGAAUGUAGCAUGUAGCGGUGAAAUGCAUAGAUAUGCUACAGAACACCGAUCGCGAAGGCAGCUCACUAAACCAAAACUGACGCUCAGGCACGAAAGCGUGGGUAGCGAACAGGAUUAGAUACCCUGGUAGUCCACGCCGUAAACGAUGAUCACUCGUUGUUGGCGACACACAGUCAGCGACCAAGCGAAAGCGAUAAGUGAUCCACCUGGGGAGUACGUUCGCAAGAAUGAAACUCAAAGGAAUUGACGGGGGCCCGCACAAGCGGUGGAGCAUGUGGUUUAAUUCGAUGAUACGCGAGGAACCUUACCUGGGCUCAAAUGUAAGUUGACGUAUUGGGAAACCAAUAUUUCUUCGGACAAUUUACAAGGUGCUGCAUGGUUGUCGUCAGCUCGUGCCGUGAGGUGUCGGGUUAAGUCCCAUAACGAGCGCAACCCCUAUCAUUAGUUGCCAUCAGGUCAAGCUGGGGACUCUAGUGAAACUGCCUACGCAAGUAGAGAGGAAGGUGGGGAUGACGUCAAAUCAGCACGGGCCCUUACGUCCAGGGCUACACACGUGCUACAAUGGCCGGUACAGAGGGCAGCCACCACGCGAGUGGGAGCGAAUCUCGAAAGCGGUCUCAGUUCGGAUCGAAGUCUGCAACCUCGACUUCGUGAAGCUGGAUCGCUAGUAAUCGCGCAUCAGUCAUGACGCGAUGAUACGUUUGCUGACCUUGCACACUCGAUCCGUCAGCGAAUCAGUCAACUGGCCGGCCGCGAUUUAC
rnacentral:rRNA from 1 species